rnacentral:rRNA from 1 species
CCUACGGGUGACUGCAGUGGGGGAUAUUGGGCAAUGGAGGAAACUCUGACCCAGCAACGCCGCGUGAAUGAUGAAGGUCUUCGGAUUGUAAAGUUCUUUUCUAAGGGAAGAAGAAAGUGACGGUACCUUAGGAAUAAGCCUCGGCUAAAUACGUGCCAGUAGCCGCGGUAAUACGUAGGAGGCGAGCGUUCUCCGGAUUGACUGGGCGUAAAGGGGGCGGAGGGGGUUUGGCAAGUUAGUAGAGAAACCCCAAGGCUCAACCUUGGAACUACUACUAAAACUGUUGGACUGGAGUGCAGGAGGGGCAACCGGAAUUCCUAGUGUAGCGGUGGAAUGCGUAGAUAUCAGGAGGAACACCAGUGGCGAAGGCGGGUUGCUAGACUGUAACUGACACUGAGGCACGAAAGCGUGGGGAGCAAACAGGAUUAGAUACCCUUGUAGUC